AAUGGGGUGUUCUCCAAUACAAUAGGAUCAAUAUGAAUGAUAUACCUAUACCUCUAAAUUUCCCAAAAAUGGUGAAGCGUGAUGAUUGCACCAGGUGGACAAAUUCGUAGCAAGUAUAAAAGGGCGGGAGAGAGAGAGAGUCUCUUCGCACACAUAAAUUUCGCGGGGGAGGGUGCUGGAGAUUUGGUCCUUUCCUGCAUAGCUUCGAGGGAUCUCCAGCCUCCGGUCUUCUCUUCCGUGCGAGAUCGAGGCUGGUACCCGAAUCUGAAAGGUGCCCAUUAUUUGCAGAAGCAAUUUCUCUCCCUUGGGGUUUAAUUGCAACAUUUCAAGUUUCUGAUCGAUCAAAAGAAGGGAAUAGAAAGGAGAAAUUUUCAGAGACCAAGUUUUGUAAUUGUAAAUAUUUAGUGGCUCAAAAUGGGUGUAAUGUCAAGGAAAGUUUUGCCAAUAUGUGACGGGCUCUGUUUCUUAUGCCCUUCGAUGCGGACUAGAUCAAGGCAGCCAGUUAAGAGGUACAAGAAGCUGAUCGCAGAUAUUUUUCCUCGUUCUCAGGAUGAAGAACCAAAUGAUCGAAAGAUUGGCAAGCUGUGUGAAUAUGCUUCCAAGAAUCCCCUGCGUAUUCCAAAGAUUGCAAAUUCUCUUGAGCAAAGGUGUUACAAAGAAUUGAGGAAUGAGCAAUUUCGACUAGCAAAAGUGGUCAUGUGUAUUUACAGGAAAUUGUUAAUUUCUUGCAAGGAUCAAAUGCCACUUUUUGCAAGUAGCUUACUGAGCAUCAUAAAUACUCUGCUGGAUCAAACACGGCAGUAUGAAAUGCGUGUUAUAGGAUGCCAAACACUUUUUGACUUUGUUAAUAGUCAGAUGGAUGGUACAUACAUGUUCAACUUAGAAGGCUUGAUUCCAAAAAUCUGUCAGACAGCCCAAGAAAUAGGGGAUGAUGAGGGAACAUGCCAACUGCGUGCAGCUGGGCUGCAAGCCCUAUCUUCAAUGGUUUGGUUCAUGGGUGAAUACUCCCAUAUUUCAUCUGAAUUUGAUAUUGUUGUUUCAGUAGUCUUAGAUAAUUAUGGUGAUCCUAAGAAAGACUUGGCAAGUCUUGAACAUGACAGGCAGGAGACCAAGAACCGUUGGGUGCAAGAAGUACUUAAAGUUGAGGGUCAUGUUUCUCCUGCAGAUGCCAUGACAAAGAUUCCUUCUUGGAAGAAGAUUAUCAAUGAGAAAGGCGAACUGAAUGUGACUGUGGAAGAUGCCAAGAACCCCCAAUUCUGGUCAAGGGUUUGCCUGCAUAACAUGGCCAAGCUAGCAAAGGAGGCAACAACUGUCCGACGUGUUUUAGAAUCUUUGUUUCGCUACUUUGAUAGUGGCAAUCUCUGGUCUCCUGAACAUGGGCUUGCUCUCUUUGUCUUGAUGGACAUGCAGUUAUUAAUGGAAGACUUUGGGCAAAACACACACUUGCUGUUGUCCAUCUUAGUUAAACAUCUUGAUCACAAGAAUGUCAUUAAACAACCUGACAUGCAGCUAAACAUUGUUGAGAUUAUCACCAUUCUUGCCCAACACUCAAAGGUUCAGGCUUCUAUAGCAAUAAUUGGUGCAGUCACUGACAUUAUGAGGCAUUUACGGAAGAGCAUACACUAUUCACUUGAAGACUCAAACCUGGGAGUUGAAAUGAUUAAAUGGAACAAGAAGUUUCGUGAAGCAGUAGACGAGUGUCUUGUGCAAUUAUUAAAUAAGGUUGGAGAUGCAGGACCUGUUCUUGACGUGAUGGCUGUCAUGAUGGAGAAUAUCUCAACAUUUACUACUACAGCAAGAAGUACAAUAUCUGUUGUUUACCGUUCUGCUCAAAUGGUAGCAUCACUGCCAAAUAUUUCCUAUCAAAACAAGGCUUUCCCUGAGGCAUUAUUUCAUCAAUUACUCUUAGCUAUGGUCCAUCCAGACCAGGAAACACGGGUGGGAGCUCACCGCAUCUUUUCUGUUGUUCUUGUGCCGUCCUCUGUUUGCCCCCAUCCUUGCUCAGCUAUUCCUGGCACAUCAAAGGUUUAUGGUUUCCAAAGAACAUUAUCAAGAACUGUUUCUGCAUUUUCUUCUUCAGCUGCUCUUUUUGAGAAGCUAAUAAAGGAGAAAAGUACCUCCCAAGAAAAUGGUUGCCAAGAUAUUGAUGUUGGAAAAUUAAGAACUAACAGCGAAGGACUCCUGAGUAGAUUGAAGUCCUCUUACACUCGAGUUUACAGUGCUAGGGGUUCCCCUUCAACAUCAGAUGAGGAAUGCAUGAACACUCCAAAUAAGGAAGGGGACCCAAUGUACCUUAGGUUAAGCAGUCGUCAGAUUACUCUCCUGCUUUCAUCACUCUGGGCACAGUCUCUCUCUCCUGAGAACAUGCCUGAAAACUACGAGGCGAUUGCUCAUACUUACUGUUUGGUGUUGUUGUUUUCUCGAGGCAAGAACUGCAUUCAUGAUGCUCUAAUCCGAAGUUUUCAGAUUGCUUUUUCAUUGCGGGGCUUUUCUCUUAAUGGAGGUCCACUGCAACCAUCACGUCGUCGAUCUAUUUUUACCUUGGCUACAUCUAUGAUCAUCUUUUCAGCAAAGGCUUAUAAUAUCGGUCCUCUUGUUCCUUGUGUUAAGGUGUCACUUACAGAUAAAACUGUUGAUCCAUUUCUAAAGUUGGUCAGAGAUUGCAAGUUACAGGCUAUUGAUAUUGGAUCUAGUCAUCCUUCAAAGGUUUAUGGAUCAAUAGAUGAUGAUAGUGCUGCUUUGGAAACUCUAUCUUCAAUAAACAUAACUGAGGACCAAUCUAAAGAAUCCUUGGCUGCAAUUAUUGUGAAGAGCUUGCAAAAUUUGUCAGAUCCAGAGGCAUCUGCUAUAAGUGAACAGUUGCAAAAUGAAUUUUUACCUGAUGAUAUAUGUCCAUUGGGAGCUCAAUUGUACAUGGAUACACCACAAAAAAUCUCCCAACUUGGAUCAAAGGACGGAUGCCCUCUUGAUGAGAUGAUGCAUCCAAUAUUUACAGAAGAUGGCUUCAUUAGCCCUAUAACAUUUGAAAGACAAAAUGGUCCAAACUUGCAGUUAUCUGAAACUGCAGAUCUUUUGAGUGUCAACGAACUGCUAGAUUCAGUCCUGGAUACAGCACGUCAAGUUGGAAGAUUUUCAGUGUCAACCACACCUGAUGUACCAUAUACGGAAACAGCCUUACAUUGUGAGACCCUUUUGAAGGGAAAACAGAAAAAACUGUCAACUUUCACGACUGCUCAACAGAAACUAGAAAAUUUAAUUAGCAUCUCUGUACAAGAUCACAACGAAGCAAAAACAAUAUCAUCUCAUUCCCAUGUUGACAUGGGUUUACCUCUGACCGGUAAUCCUUUCCUUGAUCAUGAUUUAAGUGCAAAAGGAUGCAAAUCAUCAGUUGGCACUACUCCAAUGUUGUGUGCAGUUGAGUACCAACAUCAUUCCAACUUCAGGUUGCCAGCAUCAAGUCCAUAUGAUAACUUUCUGAAGGCUGCUGGUUGCUGAUAUAGUUCAGUAGAGGAGAUGCAUCAUUUUUAUUGUCUAGAAAAGAAACUAAACAUCCUCAAAUAACCAAUUCGGCUUGAAAGCUUUUGAGACUCCAGGCACGUGGCUAAAUUUCACAGUCAAGAAAAGAAUGGCUUUAGUUGUGAGUACUAGUACCUCUUCACCGAGCGAUCUCUUUUAUUUCAGUGAUUCAAUGAAUGAAAGAUGUGUCCGCAAACGAUAUCCGAUCACAAACUCGAGUAUGGCCCGAAAUGAAGGGAAAAAUUACCAAUUGCUGUUGUUUGUGGUUCCUGAACAAGCCAUUGUUUAUUAGGCUCAGUUUGGAAAGAGUGUAAAUAUUUAUUAGGCUCAGUUUGG